rnacentral:rRNA from 1 species
UAACUCCGGGAAACCGGGGCUAAUACCGGAUAAUAUUUUGAACCGCAUGGUUCAAUAGUGAAAGACGGUUUCGGCUGUCACUUAUAGAUGGACCCGCGCCGUAUUAGCUAGUUGGUAAGGUAACGGCUUACCAAGGCGACGAUACGUAGCCGACCUGAGAGGGUGAUCGGCCACACUGGAACUGAGACACGGUCCAGACUCCUACGGGAGGCAGCAGUAGGGAAUCUUCCGCAAUGGGCGAAAGCCUGACGGAGCAACGCCGCGUGAGUGAUGAAGGUCUUCGGAUCGUAAAACUCUGUUGUUAGGGAAGAACAAAUUUGUUAGUAACUGAACAAGUCUUGACGGUACCUAACCAGAAAGCCACGGCUAACUACGUGCCAGCAGCCGCGGUAAUACGUAGGUGGCAAGCGUUAUCCGGAAUUAUUGGGCGUAAAGCGCGCGUAGGCGGUUUCUUAAGUCU